rnacentral:rRNA from 1 species
UACGUAGGGUGCAAGCGUUGUCCGGAAUUAUUGGGCGUAAAGAGCUCGUAGGCGGUUUGUCGCGUCUGCUGUGAAAAUCCAGGGCUUAACCCUGGACCUGCAGUGGGUACGGGCAGACUAGAGUGCGGUAGGGGAGAUCGGAAUUCCUGGUGUAGCGGUGAAAUGCGCAGAUAUCGAGGAGGAACACCGGUGGCGAAGGCGGAUCUCGUGGGCCGAACUG